AUGGCCCCUUUCCCAGACAGCUCUUUAAGCAAGGUUUUCCUGUCUCUCUCUUUAAUGACUCUCAGCCAUCCUUUCCCCGCUCGCUGGAGCCGGGGCAGAUGCGGGGGGGCGAGCACCCCCUGCUCCCACUCCCCCCCGCUCCCUUCCCUCUACCCACAGCAUAUUUGGGGUCCCACAGCAAGUCUUGUCCCACUAGGAGGAAAUUACCAGCUUCUGGGCCUGACCCUAUUUGCUAUCAUUUCCCUUUCCAUUUACUCCUAUAGAGAACCCCCCCCAGGAGCAGGGGCGAUGUCUUUUUGUGGCUCUUCCCCCCCUUACUCCAGGGGCAGAAGCACCCUGAAGGCUGUGUUCUGCUCUCAGAGUAAGUGUGCUCGCUGGGGGAGGAGGAAAAUGCCCCAAAUGGGCAUGGGGUUUUGUCCUGGGCUGGCCCGGCCCCAUUGCAGCCCCAGGGCUGUGCUCCACCCGUGGUGGCAAUGGGGCAGGAGGGGGAUGCAGCUGUGCCCCAGGCCAAUGCGAGGGCCCUUACUGGGAACCAAACCCAGUCCGAAGCUUUAUGGGAGAAGCCUGACAGGAAAUCCCAUCCCCGUGUGUCCUGAUGGGACGCAGUGGUGGCUUUUGGCAGGCUCUGCCGACCUGCUUGCUGGGAAGGAGCCGCUCGCUGCCUUUUACUCCCCCUUUCCUCCCUCCCUUCCACCCUGCAGCCUCCCAGGGCUCCCCCCAGCCCCACACUGCUCUGUCCCGAUGUAUGGGGGGAGAAACCCGAUGUCACCAUGCUGCCCCAUGGACCUCUCCCUGGGGUGUCCUCCUCCUGCAGCCCCCACAGACCUCUCCCUGGGGUGUCCUCCUCCUGCAGCCCCCACGGACCUCUCCCCGGGGUGUCCUCCUCCUGCAGCCCCCAUCCCGCUGCCUUCCUCCCCAGCUCCUCUGCCUCACCUCGCCUUCCUCGGGUGCUUUCCGUCCGCCUCUCCAGCAGCUCAACGUCUGGACGUGUCCCUGUGCCUCCCUGCUCCAGCACGGGAGCCUGUCGUGCUGCGGCUGGCAGCCUCCACAGGCACUGCUUCUGCCUUUUCCCUCCUCCCUUUUUGCUCCACACCAGCCUUCCUGAGCCCCCAGAGCCUCCCGCUGCUUCAAUCUGCCCCGGGGUGA
rnacentral:lncRNA from 1 species